GACGAACGCUGGCGGCGUGCUUAACACAUGCAAGUCGAACGGAAAGGCCCAGCUUGCUGGGUACUCGAGUGGCGAACGGGUGAGUAACACGUGGGUGAUCUGCCCUGAACUCUGGGAUAAGCCUGGGAAACUGGGUCUAAUACCGGAUAUGACCUUACAUCGCAUGGUGUUUGGUGGAAAGUUCUUGCGGUUCAGGAUGGGCCCGCGGCCUAUCAGCUUGUUGGUGGGGUAAUGGCCUACCAAGGCGACGACGGGUAGCCGACCUGAGAGGGUGAUCGGCCACACUGGGACUGAGACACGGCCCAGACUCCUACGGGAGGCAGCAGUGGGGAAUAUUGCACAAUGGGCGCAAGCCUGAUGCAGCGACGCCGCGUGAGGGAUGACGGCCUUCGGGUUGUAAACCUCUUUCACCAGGGACGAAGCGUGAGUGACGGUACCUGGAGAAGAAGCACCGGCCAACUACGUGCCAGCAGCCGCAGUAACAC
rnacentral:rRNA from 1 species